UACGAAGGGGGCUAGCGUUGCUCGGAAUCACUGGGCGUAAAGGGCGCGCAGGCGGUCAUUUUUGUCGAGUGUGAAAGCCCCGGGCUUAACCUGGGAACUGCACUCGAAACGGGAUGACUAGAGAUCGGGAGAGGAGAGUGGAAUUCCCAGUGUAGAGGUGAAAUUCGUAGAUAUUGGGAAGAACACCGGUGGCGAAGGCGGCUCUCUGGACCGAUACUGACGCUGAGG
rnacentral:rRNA from 1 species